rnacentral:lncRNA from 1 species
AAACCUCAAUAGUGUGUGUAAUAUUUUAGUAGAUAUGUAUAUUUUAUAAUAUUGAUAAAUUAUGUAUGUAUGUAUGGAUGUAUGUAUGUAUGUGCAUACAUAUGUAUGACAAAGUGUAAAUAUUUGAUGUAACUUUUGUUUAAUAUAUAGAUAUUAAGCGGGUUAUUGGGUAACCCGAUUAUUUUUUCGUGUCGGGUUUGGGUCUCAAUAUUUUGACACGAUUAUUAAAUGGGUCGGAUUUGGGUCGACCUAAAUUUGACACGACACGAA